AGAUUUCACACUUUCCAGGGAAAGUACAUCAAAUAACCAUAGAUAAUUACACUUGAACAUAAAAUCCAUAUCCCUAUAGCCAAAAUAGUUGAAAUUAUGAUCAUCGACAGAAAAGAACAAAGAAUAACCAGUCCUAAAAUGCCGCCGAUUCAACAAAAAAUUUAAAAAGAAAAACUUAGAUACUAACAAUGACUCUUUAAAAUCCUAAACAUUACAUGUCUAAAACAUUUAAUUUGACAUCGAAAUAGCUCUUUGUAAAUUCAAGAA
rnacentral:misc_RNA from 1 species